rnacentral:rRNA from 1 species
GGGAAGAAAAUGACGGUACCUGACUAAGAAGCCCCGGCUAACUACGUGCCAGCAGCCGCGGUAAUACGUAGGGGGCAAGCGUUAUCCGGAUUUACUGGGUGUAAAGGGAGCGUAGACGGUAAAGCAAGUCUGAAGUGAAAGCCCGGGGCUCAACCCCGGGACUGCUUUGGAAACUGUUUAACUAGAGUGCUGGAGAGGUAAGCGGAAUUCCUAGUGUAGCGGUGAAAUGCGUAGAUAUUAGGAGGAACACCCGUGGCGAAGGCGGCUUACUGGACAGU